CCUUGUUCUUUUUAAGGUUUGUUGAUAUUAGCUUUUAUCUGUAGGUUGUCAAUUAAAUGUUAUAGUAUUUGCAAUAUUUUUCUACUGUAGAUCAUCUUGGCUAGAGAGUAUCUAAAUGAUGUUUCCAUUAGUAGAGAACAGUUGAAGUACCUGGUUUUCGAAGCUUUACGAGGUGGUUGUCAGGGGCACAGAGCUGAGCUAUAUGAUGUUCGUGUUGCAAAGUGCUUAGUUGCUCUGGAGGGACGUGAUAAGGUUUAUGUGGAUGACCUGAAAAAAGUUGUAGAACUGGUUAUUCUUCUCCGGUCAAUUGUUAGUGAAAACCCACUAGAGUAGCAAAAUCAGCAGCCUCCCCCUCCACCUCCACCUCCCCAAAACCAAGAAGGCGAUGAACAGAAUGAAGAGGAAGAACAAGAGGAUGAAAAUGAUAAAGAGAAUGAGCAGCAGCAAGAGCAAUUACCUGAAGAGUUUAUCUUUGAUGCUGAAGAUGGCUUGGUAGAUGAGAAACUUCUCUUCUUUGCCCAACAAGCUUAGAGACACCGUGGGAGGGCUAGAAGGGCAAAGAAUGUCAUAUUUUUAGAGGAUAGAGGCCG